AGCAAGCUUCCCAACGGCCCAUAAAAUAAUAGUAACAUUUAUUGGGUACUUGCUUUGUGCCAGGUGCUAUUAAGAAGAUCUUGAAGAGAGAACCUAUUAGCAGCUCCAUUUGUGAGAGAAGAGAGCGUAGGUGAUUCUGCCAACCUCGUGGGCACCAGGAGAUCCCGGUGCCCAGGACUGGAGCCCAGGCAGCCUGACCACCAGGGCCCUGGUCCUUAACCACCCGAUAACCUUGCUUUUUAAGAACAGGGUCUUGGCUCGGCUGCACCCUCUGCUAGAAAAGUCUUCCUCCCGAUCUUCACACGCUGGCCCUUCUCAUCACCCGGCUGCAGCCCAGAUGCCUUCCCCUCGGAGAAGGUGCCUGAUGCUCUGGCGUGCCAUUUCAGUUGAGUUCCAUCACCCCUGUCACCUUUCCGACACCGGGAGCCUAGCCUGCUUAUCCACUUGCCCCCGUUGUUCAUGGUCUGUCCGGUGAAGGCUGGGGCUGUGUGUGUGCUGCUCACGGAGUCCCAGGGCCCGGCACGGUGCCUGGCGCCGAGAAGGCUGAGAAGAUGAGGACCAGGAGGGUCACCGAGGGCAGCAGCCAGACAUCUCUAGAGUCCUGUCCCUGGUGGCAGCAGGGUCGUCAACGGUGCAGUCUGCCGACCAUGACGGGACCCAGCUCUGUG